UCCAAUGAUGGCAUGAAAUCUUUGAGACCUGAAUGAUUAAUUUGAUGUGUAUACUAUAAGCAUAAUCUCUGAGGAU